rnacentral:rRNA from 1 species
UACGAAGGGUGCAAGCGUUAAUCGGAAUUAUUGGGCGUAAAGAGCUCGUAGGCGGCUUGUCGCGUCGGAUGUGAAAGCCCGGGGCUUAACUCCGGGUCUGCAUUCGAUACGGGCAGGCUAGAGUUCGGUAGGGGAGAUCGGAAUUCCUGGUGUAGCGGUGAAAUGCGCAGAUAUCAGGAGGAACACCGGUGGCGAAGGCGGAUCUCUGGGCCGAUACUGACGCUGAGGAGCGAAAGCGUGGGGAGCGAACAGG